rnacentral:rRNA from 1 species
AUUGAACGCUGGCGGCAGGCCUAACACAUGCAAGUCGAACGAGUGGCGGAGGGGUGAGUAAUGUCUGGGAAACGGCCUGAUGGAGGGGGAUAACUACUGGAAACGGUAGCAAAUACCGCAUACCAUCGGAUGUGCCCAGAUGGGCUUAGCUAGUAGGUGGGGUAAAGGCUCACCUAGGCGACGAUCCCUAGCUGGUCUGAGGGGAUGACCAGCAACACUGGAACUGAGCAACGGUCCAGACUCCUACGGUAGGAAGCAGUGGGGAAUAUUGCACAAUGGGCGCAAGCCGGAUGCAGCCAUGCCGCGUGUAUGAAGAAGUCCUUCGGGUUGUAAAGUACUUUCAGCGGGGAGGCGUUACCCGCAGAAGAAGCACCGGCUAACUCCGUGCCAGCAGCCGCGGUAAUAC